UACGGAGGGAGCUAGCGUUGUUCGGAAUUACUGGGCGUAAAGGGCGCGUAGGCGGAUAUUUAAGUCGGGGGUGAAAGCCCGGGGCUCAACCUCGGAAUUGCCUUCGAUACUGGAUAUCUUGAGUUCGGGAGAGGUGAGUGGAAUGCCGAGUGUAGAGGUGAAAUUCGUAGAUAUUCGGCGGAACACCAGUGGCGAAGGCGACUCACUGGCCCGAUACUGACGCUGAGGCGCGAAAGCGUGGGGAGCAAACAGG
rnacentral:rRNA from 1 species